ACCCCACCAGGUGUUAAUCAAGGCUCAGCCUAAUGACUUCACCCAGCGCACCAAAAAUAGCCUGAAAUAUACUACGAGAGGUUUUGAACUUCUGCGGCCACUUAGCCGUUGUUAAACAUAAUUCGCCAGCGAGUCCAUUAGCUUAGUCGAAACGGGAAGUGUUCUCAGUUUCACGCGUGAAAUGUUAAAACCUAUUAGGCCUACUGCGUGCUGAGAUAGUUCCGUUUACUAGCUUGCCGAGUCGAAUCCCCCUGCCUUUCAACAAGCUAACGUUACCUAGCAGGUGUUUUCGCGAGUUGACGAGCGUGAACGGGGCACCUGUGCAGCGUAGGCUACAGGUUUUUUUUUGGCGUGUGAAGUUUGGCAGAGAGAGGAUACAGGUAAAGUUGUGGAGAGAAGACCGUGGAUGGCGGAGAUGUACGGAGAGGAGGUCCUACAGUGGCCUUCCGUCUUGAGUACCCCUCUUGAAGUAAGCUUACCUGUGGCUUCCCAACGGAAAACCACUCCGUUUCCAAAUGGCUGGUGAGCUGCUUCUGGGACCGGGGAAUC